rnacentral:rRNA from 1 species
CCUACGGGAGGCAGCAGUGGGGAAUAUUGGACAAUGGGGGGAACCCUGAUCCAGCCAUGCCGCGUGUGUGAAGAAGGCCCUCGGGUUGUAAAGCACUUUCAGUGAGGAAGAACGCCUGGUGGUUAAUACCCAUCAGGAAAGACAUCACUCACAGAAGAAGCACCGGCUAACUCCGUGCCAGCAGCCGCGGUAAUACGGAGGGUGCGAGCGUUAAUCGGAAUUACUGGGCGUAAAGCGCGCGUAGGUGGCUUGAUAAGCCGGUUGUGAAAGCCCCGGGCUCAACCUGGGAACGGCAUCCGGAACUGUCAAGCUAGAGUGCAGGAGAGGAAGGUAGUAUUACCGGUGUAGCGGUGAAAUGCGUAGAGUUCGGGAGGAAUACCCGUGGCGAAGGCGGCCUUCUGGACUGACACUGACACUGAGGUGCGAAAGCGUGGGUAGCAAACCGGAUUAGAUACCCGAGUAGUC